rnacentral:lncRNA from 1 species
GAGUUAUUCUGAGGUAAGAGGCAGGAGAUGCUCUGUGAUAACACAAAGCCAUACAUUUUUUUCCAUAAGACACAAAAAAAUAGAGCACCCAAUGAAACUGCAAGUCUUUGCUGCAAGCGCCCACAGGAACUGAAAUUAUAGUCUAUGAGCAUGACUACAUUCCUGCACCAUUUACCUUUGCUGUCUUUGCCAACAGUUAUACCAGCAAAAACUUGCUAAUUCUCCCACCCUCCCCCAGCUUCAGUAUAAACUGCACGUACUUCGCAGAUAUACCCGUCAACUGCUUUAAGCACAGACAAGAUCUAUAAAUGUCCAAAAAUCACUUAGUCAUUCUUUCCUUUAUUGGUUGCAAUUCUUUUCUUGGCAGCAAGGAUAGAAAGAGAUUGCAAAGCUUGACAGCUGAGCAGCUCUUUUAGAAGGGUUAGGGAGAGAACAGGGUGUGUCCUUGUUUGCUUUGCCCCAGGUGUUCCAGUGAUGCCACUGAACUUAAACCUCAGCUGGUUGAGCAAUAAGAAAUAAAAUCACAUUCCUCUCUGCUCUGUGUUUUGGAUGGAAGGAUGCACUGAUUUGGGGCUGCUGUUCCAAGAAAAGAAGGGGCAUUUGGUCAAACGUUCAGCUGGAUGCUGUCCGUCUGCAUCGUGAUUCAUCUUCUUUAUUUCAGCCAACUCUUUCACUAUCACCCUCCAAGCUCUGCUGCUAAAUUCUGCUUCCUAUUUCUUCACUUUCAAAGAAAAUGGCAAAAUGACCUGUAGACAAACAGUGCACUUUGUGUCUUUGUGGCAAAGUGCCCCAGGAAGAACAGGUAGCAGAGGUGGGAGUGGCAGAAGAGUACAACAAACACAAACUCUCAGAGGGGGGCAAUGAUAAAGCGUUGAUUUCAAACUGUGUGUCUAUCUCAGGCACUCUUCUAUGGAAAAGCUCAGUUAAUUAUGUAGUUGCUAGUACAGCAAUAUUAACUUGAACAGGAUAUGAUUUGGAUGAUAAAAAAAGCACAAGAGCUGGCAGUCAUCUUACAAAACUUGCCUUGCCACUUAUGGAACACACACUCAUUGAAGCACAUGGCAGUUGCCUGAACCUUUGAAAGAUUUCUUAGCUCUACAUCCUAGAUUCAAAAGCUUUCCUUAAAUCUUUUCAUCAAUCUUUUCUAAACCUCUUUUGUCUCAGGCAAAUUCAAACAGCUAUGUGGGAUGGAAAAGUAAAGCUAGUAACAUCUGUACUGUGAUGACAAAUUAUUUCAGGUUUUCUUUCUGUUUCUGGGAGAUGCUUUGCAGAUGUCAAAGCCUCAAGGAAUCAUGACACUUUCCUCUCCUUAACCCCACUGAACGUGGCAUUCACUAUUUGCAAAUACUGAAUUACUACUCACCACACCCCAGUAAGACAGGCUAUUACCACUCAAGUAAACAGGCAGGGAAUGGAGGCACAGAAUGACUAAGUGAUUAUUCCAACAUCAUGAUACAAGU